rnacentral:rRNA from 1 species
AUUGAACGCUGGCGGCAUGAUUUACACAUGCAAGUCGAACGGUAACAGGCCGCAAGGUGCUGACGAGUGGCGAACGGGUGAGUAAUGCAUCGGAACGUGCCCAGUCGUGGGGGAUAACUACUCGAAAGAGUAGCUAAUACCGCAUACGAUCUAUGGAUGAAAGCGGGGGACCGUAAGGCCUCGCGCGAUUGGAGCGGCCGAUGUCAGAUUAGGUAGUUGGUGGGGUAAAGGCUCACCAAGCCAACGAUCUGUAGCUGGUCUGAGAGGACGACCAGCCACACUGGGACUGAGACACGGCCCAGACUCCUACGGGAGGCAGCAGUGGGGAAUUUUGGACAAUGGGCGCAAGCCCGAUCCAGCAAUGCCGCGUGCAGGAAGAAGGCCUUCGGGUUGUAAACUGCUUUUGUACGGAACGAAACGGCUCUGGUUAAUACCCGGGGCUAAUGACGGUACCGUAAGAAUAAGCACCGGCUAACUACGUG